rnacentral:rRNA from 1 species
AACGAACGCUGGCGGCGUGCUUAACACAUGCAAGUCGAACGGGUCAUAUUGAGUAGCAAUACUUGAUAUGGAUUAGUGGCGGACGGGUGAGUAACACGUAGGAACCUACCCUUGAGCGGGGGACAACCCAGGGAAACUUGGGCUAAUACCUCAUAAGACCAGGGGUGUAAAUUCCGCGGUAAAAGUAGCAAUACGCUCAUGGACGGGCCUGCGGCCUAUCGGUAGUUGGUGAGGUAACGGCCCACCAAGCCAAAGACGGGUAGCCGGGCUGAGAGGUUGACGGCCACACUGGAACUGAGACACGGUCCAGACUCCUACGGGAGGCAGCAGUGGGGAAUUUGCACAAUGGGGGAAACCCUGAUGCAGCGACGCCGCGUGGAGGAUGAAGGUCUUCGGGUGUAAACUCCUUUUAUUGGGAAAGAUUAUGACGGUACCCAAUGAAUAAGCCACGGCUAAUCUGUGCCAGCAGCCGCGGUAAGACAGAGGUGGCGAGCGUUGUUCGGAAUUACUGGGCUAAAGGNCGAGUAGNCGGUGGGACAAGUCUGAUWWRGAAUCUUAGGGCUUAACCCUAAAAUGCAUUAGAAACUGUUUUACUUGAGUCAGUGAGGGGAGG